rnacentral:rRNA from 1 species
AUUGAACGCUGGCGGCAGGCCUAACACAUGCAAGUCGAACGGGUGGCGGACGGGUGAGCUAUGAAUGGGAAAGUGAGUGAUGGAGAGGGUUAACUAAUGGAAACGGUAGCCAAUACCGCAUACCAGCGGCUGUGCCCAGAUGGGUUUAGGUAGUGGUUGGGGUAACGGCUCACAUAGGCGACGAUCCCUAGCUGGUCUGAGAGGAUGACCAGUCACACUGGAACUGAGACACGGUCCAGACUCCUACGUGAGGCAGCAGUGGGGAAUAUUGGACAAUGGGCGAAAGCCUGAUCCAGCCAUGCCGCGUGUAUGAAGAAGGCCUUCGGGUUGUAAAGUACUUUCAGCGGGGAGGCGUUACCCACAGAAGAAGCACCGGCUAACUCCGUGCCAGCAGCCGCGGUAAUAC